ACUUAGUUAGCUUAGUUGGUAAGGCGCUCGUCCAGCAUACAAGUCUCGUGGGUUCGAAUCCCACCUGAGCA
rnacentral:tRNA from 1 species